rnacentral:rRNA from 1 species
UACGUAGGUGGCUAGCGUUGUCCGGAUUUACUGGGCGUAAAGCGCGCGCAGGCGGUCGUUCAAGUCGAGUGUGAAAGCCCCCGGCUCAACUGGAGAGGGUCACUCGAUACUGAUCGACUUGAAGGCAGAAGGAAGGGAAGCGGAAUUCCCGGUGUAGUGGUGAAAUGCGUAGAUAUCGGGAGGAACACCAGUGGCGAAGGCGGCUUUCUGGUCUGUUCUUGACGCUGGAGGCGACGAA